rnacentral:rRNA from 1 species
GGGGGGGGGGGGGGGGGGGGGGGGGGGGUGGGGGGGGGGGGGGGGGGGGGGGCGUGGGGGGGGGGCUCGGGUGGCGGGGGGGUGGGGGACGCGUGAGUGGCCUGCCCUUGACUUUGGGAUAACUUCAGGAGACUGGGGCUAAUACCGGAUAGGAGCUCCUGCUGCAUGGUGGGGGUUGGAACGUUUCGGCGGUUGGGGAUGGACUCGCGGCUUAUCAGCUUGUUGGUGGGGUAGUGGCUUACCAAGGCUUUGACGGGUAGCCGGCCUGAGAGGGUGACCGGCCACAUUGGGACUGAGAUACGGCCCAGACUCCUACGGGAGGCAGCAGUGGGGAAUAUUGCACAAUGGGCGGAAGCCUGAUGCAGCAACGCCGCGUGCGGGAUGACGGCCUUCGGGUUGUAAACCGCUUUCGCCUGUGACGAAGCGUGAGUGACGGUAAUGGGUAAAGAAGCACCGGCUAACUACGUG